rnacentral:rRNA from 1 species
AGUGAACGCUGGCGGUAGGCCUUACACAUGCAAGUCGAACGGCAGCAUGGGUGCUUGCACCUGAUGGCGAGUGGCGAACGGGUGAGUAAUGCAUCGGAACGUACCCGGAAGUGGGGGAUAACGUAGCGAAAGUUACGCUAAUACCGCAUAUUCUGUGAGCAGGAAAGCGGGGGAUCGCAAGACCUCGCGCUUCCGGAGCGGCCGAUGUCGGAUUAGCUAGUUGGCGGGGUAAAGGCCCACCAAGGCAACGAUCCGUAGCGGGUCUGAGAGGAUGAUCCGCCACACUGGGACUGAGACACGGCCCAGACUCCUACGGGAGGCAGCAGUGGGGAAUUUUGGACAAUGGGCGCAAGCCUGAUCCAGCCAUGCCGCGUGAGUGAAGAAGGCCUUCGGGUUGUAAAGCUCUUUCGGCGGGGAAGAAAUCGCAUCUCCUAAUACGGGGUGUGGAUGACGGUACCCGAAUAAGAAGCACCGGCUAACUACGUG